rnacentral:misc_RNA from 1 species
GAGAUACUUUGCUUCUUGGACAAGUUUAUCGACUCAUCUGCUUCGAAGAUGUACUAAAAGAGUUUGCUGCAAAGAAGUGCGUGAAACUUGGCAAGUUGCUCAGGGAAAGUGGAGGCCUUGUUCUCGAUUCAAAGAAAAUCUCCGUCGAUUCUUCAGCAGUGAAAAACAAGCCCAAAAUGGUGAAUGGAAUCCCAGCUAAGAUGGAACAUGAAACUUAUCAAAAUGGAAGCAGUAGCAGCAGUGGGCAAAGAAGUGUGGGAAGGCAUCAUGGUGGUGUGGGGCAAUGGAAACCAGCCUUACAGAGUAUUGCAGAGAUUGGAACUUGAACUAUACCCACCAUUAAGCAUUACACUUUCCCUACCAUGGCUAAACCUUUUCCAAAAUAAGAAAGGAUAGCAACUCAAUUGUCCCUAGC